AAAACUUUGUAUUGAUUAUAAGUUAGCUUAGGUAAAACUUCUAGCAUGGUAAUAAUAGUAUCUAAGAAAACAUAACUAAAAGAAAACUUUUUAACCCAGCAAGAAACAUUAAACUAUAUUAGAAAUAAUAAUUUAAUUUAGCCUAAAUAAGUUGGACCAAUAUAGGUGCCAGCAGUCGCGGUCAUACCUAACAGCUUAGUUAACUCUACUAGGCUAGCUUAAAAAAAUAAUUCUUUAUAAAUAGGUGAAAUUAUUAUAAGAAUAAAUUUUAUUUUUUUAACUUUUAGCUUAAGCUCUAAAGAUAAACUAGGAUUAGAUACCCUACUAUAUAGAGUAUAAAUUAUCAAGCCUAAGCACUAAGACUUUAAAGUUAAAACUUAAACUACAUGGCGGCAGUUAGAAAUUUCAGGGGAACUUGCCAAGUAAAUGAUAAUCCCCAAAAAACUCUACUUUUGUUCAAAGUUUGUAUAUCGCCGUCUUCAGCAUUCAUUUAAGAUGAAUCCAAAAUGUUAAGAACAAAAAGACAGGUAAAGAUGCAACCUAUAUAAAAGUUUAGGUGAGUUACAAUAUUGAUUUUAUUUUGGAAUUGUUUUGAAAUAAAACAAAAAAACUGGACUUGAAAGUAAAAUAUAAAAAAAAUAUUAACUGAAUUUUUAAUUUAACUGUGUACAAAUCGCCCGUCGCUUUCGUUGAAAAAUGAAAUAAGUCGUAACACAGUAGGUGUACCGGAAGGUGUACCU
rnacentral:ncRNA from 1 species